UACGUAGGGGGCUAGCGUUGUCCGGAAUCAUUGGGCGUAAAGAGCGUGUAGGCGGCCCGGUAAGUCCGCUGUAAAAGUCAAAGGCUCAACCUUUGAAUGUCAGUGGAUACUGCCGGGCUAGAGUCCGGAAGAGGCGAGUGGAACUCCUGGUGUAGCGGUGGAAUGCGCAGAUAUCAGGAAGAACACCUAUGGCGAAGGCAGCUCUCUGGGACGGUACUGACGCUGAGACGCGAAAGCGUGGGGAGCGAACAGG
rnacentral:rRNA from 1 species